rnacentral:rRNA from 1 species
CCUACGGGAGGCAGCAGUGGGGAAUAUUGGGCAAUGGGCGAAAGCCUGACCCAGCAACGCAGCGUGAAGGAAGAAGGCUUUAGGGGUGUAAAAUUCUUUUAAGAGGGAAGAGCAGAAGACGGUACCUCUUGAAUAAGCCACGGCUAACUACGUGCCAGCAGCCGCGGUAAUACGUAGGUGGCAAGCGUUGUCCGGAUUUAGUGGGUGUAAAGGGCGUGCAGCCGGGAAUACAAGUCAGAUGUGAAAUCCCGCGGCUCAACCGUGGAACUGCAUUUGAAACUGUUUUUCUUGAGUACAGGAGAGGUCAUCGGAAUUCCUUGUGUAGCGGUGAAAUGCUUAGAUAUAAGGAAGAACACCAGUGGCGAAGGCGGAUGACUGGACUGCAACUGACGGUGAGGCGCGAAAGCGUGGGGAGCAAACAGGAUUAGAUACCCGUGUAGUC